rnacentral:rRNA from 1 species
AUCUGUGACCAAAUCAACCAGAAUGGUUCCCCAUCUCAUCUGACAUCGUAAGCUGAACUCAGGUGAGCCUGGUUAGCACUUGAAUGAUUCACCGCCAAUGCUUGCCAGGUGUUGUAGGCU